GACGAACGCCGGCGGCGCGCCUAAUACAUGCAAGUAGAACGCUGAAGAGAGGAGCUUGCUCUUCUUGGAUGAGUUGCGAACGGGUGAGUAACGCGUAGGUAACCUGCCUGGUAGCGGGGGAUAACUAUUGGAAACGAUAGCUAAUACCGCAUAAUAUUGACUAUUGCAUGAUAGUUGAUUAAAAGGUGCAAUUGCACCACUACCAGAUGGACCUGCGUUGUAUUAGCUAGUUGGUGGGGUAACGGCUCACCAAGGCGACGAUACAUAGCCGACCUGAGAGGGUGAUCGGCCACACUGGGACUGAGACACGGCCCAGACUCCUACGGGAGGCAGCAGUAGGGAAUCUUCGGCAAUGGACGGAAGUCUGACCGAGCAACGCCGCGUGAGUGAAGAAGGUUUUCGGAUGUAAAGCUCUGUUGUAAGAGAAGAACGAGUGUGAGAAG
rnacentral:rRNA from 1 species